AAUAUAAUUCAACUUUCACAGAGUCUCUUGCAGAAGGCAGAUAUAAGUACAAAUUUAACAAAGGUCUUUGAGAGAGUGUACCACUGUUGCAAAUUCAGUGUAAAGCUCUGCAGGAAAGGCCUCUCUACUGAGGUUGCAUUUAAGUUGUUGUUCAAAAGACAGGUUGAAGUUAGCCAGGAGUAUUGGUACUUACAUGAUCAAAAGGAAGAAGAGAGUCACUGCAAAGCACAAUGCUGCUUCAGUCAAUGGCUGUAUCAUCCUGGAGUUUCCCUGACUUCAGCAUUUAUCAUCCUUGACCAUUUCCACCCUCGUCACCUUUCCACCCUGCUCUCUGGUCACCUUCUCAGUUUCCUUUGUAAAUACUUUUCUUUAUCACCACAUUUUAAAUAUUGAUAUUCCUCAGAAUUAUGGCUUGGGCUCCUUUCUCCUCUGAUUCUGUUUUCUCUAGGCAAGUCCAUCUAUUCCUAUAUCUUCAGAUAAUAUUGCUACAGUGAUGAUACCCACAUCUAGUACAUGCUCCGUAUCUUAACGCAACUCUGUAAUUUAAUCAGACAUCUGAGCAUCGCCCUUGACCUCUAUUUCUCCCUCACCCAUUUCUAAUUAGUCACCAAGUACUAAGCAUUAGUACCUUGUAUUUACAUAAAUAUUGUAACUUUUAUUCCUGCCUACCAUUACCUAUCAUCUUGUGUCUAC
rnacentral:lncRNA from 1 species